AACUCUCAACCCCCCUAUUUUGUAAUGAAAUAGGCGCUUGGGCUUGGAUUAUGGCUGUUUUGCAGGAGAAGUUAAGUCUUUCACCGGCUCAGCUGAAAUACACGAGCAACCCAGUUUGAAUAUUAACGGCUUGACUCGGCGUAAUAGCUUUAUUAUCGCUGAGGACGUUUCAUAUCAAGAUAGUGGUGCUUCUAAUGCGUCGCUUGAAAUAUAGCACAUCUUAAGC
rnacentral:misc_RNA from 1 species